rnacentral:rRNA from 1 species
UACGUAGGGUGCGAGCGUUGUCCGGAAUUACUGGGCGUAAAGAGCUCGUAGGUGGUUUGUCGCGUUGUUCGUGAAAACUCACAGCUCAACUGUGGGCGUGCGGGCGAUACGGGCAGACUGGAGUACUGCAGGGGAGACUGAAAUUCCUGGUGUAGCGGUGGAAUGCGCAGAUAUCAGGAGGAACACCGGUGGCGAAGGCGGGUCUCUGGGCAGCAACGUGACGCUGAGGCGCGAAAGCCAGGGGAGCGAACGGG